CCCGCCGGGACAAGGACUGGGGACAUCCCUGUCCCCUGGGCCCUCCCCUCAGAGAUGGGUGGGGCCACCAGGAGCAGCGGGACCAGGGGACCCGGCCCCACGAUGUCCCCACCCCGGGUGGCCCCGGCCUGGCCCGGCUGAGGAAAUCCUGGAAGGAGCCAAAAUUCCCGGGUUUGGCCUCGGGAGGAGGUGGAGAGAGCCGGGAAUGGGGGCAGAGGAGGGAGCGGGGUGGAGGUGCCGGGAUGGGCGGGAGGGGUGGUCCAGGAUGGGAAGGAUGGAAGCUCUGGAAAGGGAUGGAUGCUCCAAGGUGGGAUGGAAGCUCUGGAAAAGGAUGGAUGCUCCAAGGUAGAAUGGAUGAUCCAGGUGGGAUGGAUGUUCCAAGGUUGGAUGGAAGCUCUGGAAAUGGAUGGAUGCUCCAAGGUGGGAUAGAAGUUUUGGAAAAGGAAGGAUGCUCCAAGGUGGGAUGGAAGCUCUGGAAAAUGAUCCAGGAUGGGAUGGAAACUCCAAGGUGGGAUGGAUGCUCCAGAAUAGGGUGGAUAUUGAGGAUUAGAGGGAUGAUCCAGGAAAAGAUGGAUGCUCCUGGGUAGGGGGAACAAUCUGGAUGGAUG
rnacentral:lncRNA from 1 species